GCUCCUGUAGUGUAGUCCGGACAAUCAUACAGCCCUCUCAAAUCUUGGAGAACGGCUGUGACCCGGGUUCAAAUCCCGGCGGGAGCA
rnacentral:tRNA from 1 species